GACAGAUUGAGAAAGUAGUUAAAGCAACUUAUGAGAUCCAAGGUUUAAUAAGUAGUCGCAGAGAUCCAAAACAAGGAAGUUAUGCUGAACAUUUAUACAACACUGGUUCAGCUGAUUAGCAUAUUCUAUUUAAUUUUUAGGAAUCACAAUUGGAAGGCUGUGGGAACUUCAGACAGGGUUUGGAAAGAUUUACCUGAAUGGUCACAGGAAAAAUGAAUUUGCGUGGCAAGUUACAUUGGAGAAGAGUGUAAGGAGAUUUGAUAAAGAUGUUCAAAAUCAUAACAAUCUAGACAAUAGAUGGAGCAAUAUUGUCUCAUUGAUAGCCAUAAACAUCCAACACUGCGAUGCAUGACAAAAGAACAAGCAACAAGAAAAGGAAACACCAUGUUGUGUAACGAGUUGUUAGGAUCUGGAAUGCACUGCCCGAACACGUGGUGGAGAUAGAUCUGAUCAUGACUUUCAGAGGAGAAUUGGCUAAUUUUUCUGAAGUGAAACCACUUUUGGAAAGGGCUGGGGAGUGGGAUUAAUUAAUGUCCUUUUGAAUAGAGCUGGCAUGUAAACAGUGGGUCAACUGGCCUCCUUUUUGCAGUUGCCAUUUCUAAGAUGCAUAAUGAUUGGAUUUUCUUUUGUGACAUUGCCUUAGAGAAGCAACUUCACUAAAAUGUGACAAAUUAUAUAACUGAAGAGGGAGAAGGUAUAUUUUUGUCUUUAAAUAAUCUGAACAGGCAAAAUACACCAUCUACACAGCCUUGUUUUACUUAAGUGUGUAAAAAUAUCCUUAUUUAGUGUACAAGUGAAUGUAGUUUAUUUGGCUGACAAGCUUUAUUGUGAAAUCUAUAUUUGUCCCUCGAAAACUCCCCUGCAAACAUCCUACCCCACACGUUACAUUUAGCUUUAACUCAGGUGUUCAUAGACCUAUCAUGUCCCCUAAUAUCUUAAAGUCACUUCACGACCUUGUGACUUGUCCUUGCGCUAUGUUGCAGUCUCUUCCAGCUCUGUGUACCUUCCAAUUUAGACUUUGCAACUCCCCACUACCAUUUUUAACUUUGAAGAUGCUAUAUAUAAGUUAUUGCACAUUAUCAAUAAUGUUGUGUUUUGCAUACUUUUGUUUUUGUUCAUUUGUUUCUGUAUCUUAGUAUUUUAAAUUUUAUCUAUUUGUUUUCUUGAUGCAACUUGCAUGGACUGUGGCAGAGACACAGCCACAUUUUAAACUGUGGAAAACAUCAGGGACGAUACAGAGUUUGGAAGGAACUGAGUUAUGCUGAUAAUUUGGAGUGGUCGUGUCAUGGAAAGAAUGCGCAACAGAAGAACUAAAUUACGUAGAGUUAUACAGCAUGGAAACAGACCCUUCAGUCCAACUUGUCUACGCCGACCAGAUAUCCUAAACUGAUACAGUCCUAUUUACUAGCUUUUGGCCCAUAUCUCUCUAAACCAUUCUUAUUCAUAUCACCCAUCCAGAUGCCUUUUGUAGUGAUUAUAAUAAGUAUUUCAAAUUUUUAUGGUGAAUAACAUAUGUGGAAAAAUAUUGCACAAAUGGCAGCUGCCAUUUUGUGUUUUUCUUUCUUUUGAUUUCACUUGCUACUAUUUUUGUGUGAUUUGCUUCUUAAUUCCAGAUUUGAUAACACAGUCACAGGUUGGAUUAAAAUUUCAGCCAAGCCUUGCUGUCACAGUUGUCUCUAUUUUAACAUCCUAGUACGAACAAGAUGUCUGCAAAUCUCGUAAUGGUUUUUUUCCUCCACAACACAACCAGCUGACAGUUCUUCUGAAACUAUUAUGCGCCCUGAAGUGUAUCAGCUUCUGAACAAUGGUUUUAUUUUAGUUUAUGAACUUUCUAUGUUGCGGAUGUGAGUGUAAAAUGUGACCAAAUAUUGUGGUUGAUCUUGUGUAGAAAUUGACAUUUUGGCGUAACUGUUACUUGUUGUGGAUACAUAGCAACAAGAGCACUACCUUAAUUCUAUGUUCAGUUUUUUCCAAUUCUAUUUAUCCUUUGUUCCUUCAGCUGCCUAUAUAACCAAUUGAAAGUUGACAUGGUCUCUGCUUCAGUGUCUUUAACUCUUAUAGUGCUUUUCUCAAUCUCCAUGAUUAGGUUUCAAGUGUGAGCUAAAUUCUAAACAUUCAACUUGUGAUUAGUCAGCAUUUAGAUCACCAUAAUUUCUAUAAUACUGGUGGUCUUUGUAGCUAAGUGUUGAUGUGCAAUCUGUUUGAAUUAAUGUACUGGAAUUCAUAACUUGAUCUUUGUUUCUCCCCAGGAAAAUGGAGUACAGUUGAAGUCAUAGAAAUUUUCAAUUUGUGCAACAUGGACCAGGAAAAGAACAGAUUGCACAGGCUGCCUGGUCAGAUGUUAUCAGCUAUCAGAAUUGCAACAAAUAUCCUUCAUUCUGACCGUGCUGUCUGAUCCUGCUAUGUCUAUCCAUUGUUUUUGGUUUUAAUUAAUCUAAAUUGGAUAAAGCAAGACAAUGCUGAACCCACUAUUCACUGAGGACAUCCUGUUGCCAUCACUAUUCGCUUGUUGUACCAUUAUCAACUCUCACUCCUUCACAGUAAUGAUGCAAAAACUACAGCUGAAGUAUGUAGAAAAAUGUCAAACAGGGCAUGUUGCAAGAUGACCCACUUCAGAAAGAACUAACCCAUUUAACAAGUGGACUUACAUAUUAUGCUUAAACUGAAAAGUUUGAGUUCUCUUUGCACUGUUCCCACAGUUCAUGUUAUGGGACUAAUGAAUAUUGACGAGUGUAUAUUGGUUGUACAUUACUGCAUGGGCAUAAUAUGAAGAUCGGUUACUGUGUCUAAACUUAAUAAUUUUAUCUUCCAUAUCUGUCAGUGCCCAAAAAAACAAAGGGGAGCCUAAGAUUUAAGUUACAUGCAGGUAUUCAGAAGACAAAAGUCUAUACACAACACCAAAGUGCUACAGGCAGUAUCUGAGAGUUAUGUUUUGUGAUUUUUAUUUUACCAUAGAUUGAGAGGUAGUGGCUUUGUCUCGAUGUUUUCUGAAUAUUGCUGAUUACUUGUACAUUAUACAUCUGAACUAUCUGCAUUAUGUAAGUAUCCAAGAUGGUCAGAUGAGACAUUGACAGUUUGAAUGUUUGUCUUAUGUCUAAUGUUUGUUAUUUUAAAACAAAACUGUCAAACCCACAUUUAUGAACCUUCCCUUUUUCUCACCUGAAACUGAUGAGUUCCUCAGCAAAGAGCUGUUGAAAGUUGAAAUUGAGAAAAACUUUUUAAUGCUUGUAUAAGAGCCUUUCACAAUCAUAGUAUUUUAUCAAACACAGCCAAUAAAUCACAAGAAAUAUGGCAACCCACUGCACACAACAAAAUCCCAUAAACAGGAAUGUGAUAAAGACAUAUAUCACUUCAAAUAAACAGUUUGAUAGAUACAUAUUGCGUACGAUGCUUGGAAAAAUGCUAUUCCAACAAAGUGGGUCUCAUGAAAAGUUUACAUCCGUGAAAAAUGACAGAAUGGUUUACGUUUAAUGACUCAUCUAAAAGACUACACUUCUGACGGUGCAGCACUCUUUCUAGUGCUCCUGAGACAUCACUCGUACUCCUGCAUCAUUGUGUAGGUUCACGCAAGAGAUUUGACCACAUCACCACUAAAUACAAGAAAGAGGAGUAGUAAGAUUUCUAAUGGUUUGAUUCCAGCAAUGGGUGUUGUUCUCAUUUGUUUUCCUGAGAGCUGCUAAUAUCUCAUCUUCCAGAGUACUUGUUUCAGCUUUUCUAGGGUUCCUGUUGGUAAUCAGUUUACUGAGUUGCGUAUUUGGGUGGAAGGAGAAUUGCUGUAUCACCUGUUCUAUAAUAUUACCAGUAAGAAGAAGCCUAGACGAGGCGGUCUUUUCAUUUUUAAUCUGCAGUGCUGAAUGCCAGGGACUAACUGACAUGCAGUAGGGUGGAGAUCUGUGCUUGACUCUCAAUAAAGUAUUAGAAACGUAGAGAGAGGAUACAUUGUAUGUAGCUUAGCCAGAUCUUGUCCUUAUCGAAAAGUAGGGGGUUAUUGGUCAGCAGCCAGGGGUAGGUAUUCUGACUGACAAUAAUAUCCCUCCUUAAUCUGGGGAUUAGAAAGUCAAUGGUCUUGACUGGAAUCUACUGACACCAAUGCAGUGCAAGAAAUUAGCUUGAUUUUAGGUUUUCACACACCUUCCUACCUCAGUACUACAUCUAGUAUUGUGUUUAUCCACUGAACUAUUUAGUGGAAAUAAUUAAGAAUCCAGCGAUUACUACUAACCAGUUAUGUUGUUCACAUUUUGCUCUUUGCAAGACGUUGUAAAAUUAAAAGUUGUAAUUGAAAUAAAUUGUUGGAACUUGAUUUACAAGAUAGACCUCAUCUCAAGUGAAGUAAACAUGUGCACAAACCAAUAAACAGUUUUGUGCACUUAGGUGCUGUUUUGCUCAGUCUUAUAAAAGUUUAUUUAAAGUAUUAUAGAGCUGUAUGAUAAGCUGGUUUUUGCUUCUAAGCAGGACUACACACCAUCUCUUUCCAUCCAUCACAAGCUCAGCACCUGUGCUCACUUUAUGAAUGUCAAUUAAGGGUGUUUAUACGAUCAUAAAUGUUCCUGUAGGCUAAAAAAAAUAAAAUGAAUAUUAUUCCAAUUGUCCUUUAUUAAGUGAGAAGUUUGCAUUAGUUGUGGAAGGCAAAAUAAAGAAAAGAAACAUUCA